rnacentral:rRNA from 1 species
UACGAAGGGGGGCUAGCGUUGCUCGGAAUGACUGGGCGUAAAGGGCGCGUAGGCGGAUUGUACAGUCAGGCGUGAAAUUCCCGGGCUCAACCUGGGGGGCUGCGCUUGAGACGUGCGAUCUUGAGUGGGGAAGAGGGUCGUGGAAUUCCCAGUGUAGAGGUGAAAUUCGUAGAUAUUGGGAAGAACACCGGUGGCGAAGGCGGCGACCUGGUCCUUGACUGACGCUGAGGCGCGAAAGCGUGGGGAGCAAACAGG